AGAUGCCAAGACUGCUUUACUUCUCCAAGAUCAGUGGAAAGCAAAACCCUUGUUGUGAGCCAAAACAAUCCUUGGAAACGAAUGUCGCUAAGUCAAUAUUUAGCUUCUGCGGACGGCAUCAUCGUCGGCCAGUUUAUUUUUUCUGGGCCCCGCCACAUCUGCUGCCAAUGUCAUGUGCGGUAGCCG